rnacentral:rRNA from 1 species
UACAGAGGGUGCAAGCGUUGUUCGGAAUUACUGGGCGUAAAGCGCGUGUAGGCUGCGGUGUAAGUCGGACGUGAAAGCCCUUGGCUUAACCAAGGAAGUGCGUCCGAUACUGCGUCGCUUGAGUGUCGGAGGGGGCGGCGGAAUUCCCGGUGUAGAGGUGAAAUUCGUAGAUAUCGGGAGGAACACCUGUGGCGAAGGCGGCCGCCUGGACGAUAACUGACGCUGA